rnacentral:rRNA from 1 species
CUCAGUUCGGAUCGGAGUCUGNAACCCGACUCCGUGAAGCUGGAUUCGCUAGUAAUCGCGCAUCAGCCAUGGCGCGGUGAAUACGUUCCCGGGCCUUGUACACACCGCCCGUCAAGCCAUGGAAGCCGGGGGUGCCUGAAGUGUGCAGCCGCAAGGAGCGCCCUAAGGUAAAACCGGUGACUGGGGCUAAGUCGUAACAAGGUAGC